CCUGACCCAAACCUUUCUAGCACUUGUCAGUAAGUGCAUACCUUUCCAACACCCAUCAGUAAGUGUACCUUCCUGGUAUCCUUCAGUAGAUACCUAAGUCUUCUAGCAUCCCUCAGUAGAUGUCAUCCUAGUAGAAUUCAUCAGUAAAUGCUAACAGUGACAUCCAUCAGGAGAUGUCUAUUCACCGUCCUCUUUCAUAACAACAUCCAUUAGUAGAUGUUGUAGAAGCAUCAUCCAGUAGAUGCUAUCAUCACUACCAUCAGAAGCAGCAUAUAACCUAAAAAAACUUAAACAUACAAAUAAUUAAAAAGAAAAAGUUAGAAACUAGGUUACCUCCCAACAAGCGCUUCUUUAACGUCAUUAGCUUGACCUGGUAAAGCCCAAACACCCAUCAGUAGGUAUUGAUCCUCCCCUUGCUUGAUAUUCUUUUCUUUUUCUUCUUCCUGCUGAAUUUCUUCAGAAAAUUGAGAACACCAAACACGUGUUUCCAUAUAUCAAUCAUAGGAACUUUAAUCUCCAAUUUAUUGAAGAUCUCCAUAAAGCACUUAAACUUCUUUUCUUUCCUAUGAUAUUUGUUUUGAUGAGGAAGAGGUUUUUCAUAUGAUCUUUUAUUCUUUCCUCUCUUCCUCUUUUUCUCACUUUUCUCCCUCAACUUUCUCUUUUUCAUUUUUCUUUCUUUCUUAAUUUUCACAAUUUUUCUCUUUUUUUCUUUUCUCUCAACCAUUGCUUUUUCUCCCUCAUCAUCAUUAUCUUCCUUAACCAACUUUUCUGUUUCUUCUUCCUUUAAAUCUCUCUCUAUCUUUUCUCCUCAAUCUUCUCCUCCUUUUUCUCCAAUUUUUUCUCCUCUAUCUUCUCCUCCUUUCUCUCCAUGUUUUUCUCCUUUAUCUUCUCCUUAUAUAUCUCUAUCCUUUCUUCCUUUAUCUUUUCCUCCUUUCUCUCCAUGUUUUUAUCCUUUAUCUUCUCUUCAUAUAUUUCUAUCUCUUUUUCCUCUAUCUUCUCCUUAGCAACAACCUUUUCUGUUUCUAUGUCUUCUAUCUUUUUCACCUCUCUCUCUAUCUUUUCCCCAUCAAUUGAUGUCUCCAAAUUCCUGCAAGUAACUUCAUAGCUCUUGGAAUCAUACUUCUCCAGAAAUUUGUCAAAAUUUUCUUUAGAUCUUUUGAGUUGUUCGCCCAAAUCAACUAUCUUUUGGCAUAGUUAUUGAUCAUACUCCCACAUGUCUAUUGGUGAAAAAUGUUGUUGUUGCCUCUCUUCCAUGAUUCUAUGAGAAGAAAAUCAUGUAUACAUGUCCUGCGCAAAUUUGUCAUUCUUUGUAUUCUCCUCUAUGCUUUUGACAUGGCAUUCUCCCGAAUUCACGACCCUCUGAAAAAGUUCAUCAGACUCUGCACUCCUCUUAAUCGGAGUAAAUCGUGGCUCAACAACUUGCCCAAAUUGGCUUUGAUCCAUGUAUGAGUGAGGUU
rnacentral:lncRNA from 1 species